CGGCGGACGGGUGAGUAACGCGUGGGUAACCUGCCUCAUACAGGGGGAUAACAGUUGGAAACGGCUGCUAAUACCGCAUAAGCGCACAGUACCGCAUGGUACCGUGUGAAAAACUCCGGUGGUAUGAGAUGGACCCGCGUCUGAUUAGCUAGUUGGUGGGGUAACGGCCUACCAAGGCGACGAUCAGUAGCCGACCUGAGAGGGUGAUCGGCCACAUUGGAACUGAGACACGGUCCAA
rnacentral:rRNA from 1 species